rnacentral:tRNA from 2 species
AAGAAUAGUAGAGGGGC